rnacentral:rRNA from 2 species
AGUCGAGCGGACAGAUGGGAGCUUGCUCCCUGAAGUCAGCGGCGGACGGGUGAGUAACACGUGGGCAACCUGCCUGUAAGACUGGGAUAACUCCGGGAACCGGGGCUAAUACCGGAUAAUUCUUUCCCUCACAUGAGGGAAAGCUGAAAGAUGGUUUCGGCUAUCACUUACAGAUGGGCCCGCGGCGCAUUAGCUAGUUGGUGAGGUAACGGCUCACCAAGGCAACGAUGCGUAGCCGACCUGAGAGGGUGAUCGGCCACACUGGGACUGAGACACGGCCCAGACUCCUACGGGAGGCAGCAGUAGGGAAUCUUCCGCAAUGGACGAAAGUCUGACGGAGCAACGCCGCGUGAGUGAUGAAGGUUUUCGGAUCGUAAAACUCUGUUGUUAGGGAAGAA